rnacentral:rRNA from 1 species
UACAGAGGUCUCAAGCGUUGUUCGGAUUCAUUGGGCGUAAAGGGUGCGUAGGCGGCGCGGUAAGUCGGGUGUGAAAUCUCGGAGCUUAACUCCGAAACUGCAUUCGAUACUGCCGUGCUUGAGGACUGGAGAGGAGACUGGAAUUUACGGUGUAGCGGUGAAAUGCGUAGAUAUCGUAAGGAAGACCAGUGGCUGAAGGCCGGGUCUCUGGACAGUUCCUGACGCUGAGGCACGAGGUCAGGGGAGCAAACGGG